CGUGUAGGCGGCCUGGCAAGUGUCCUGUGAAAGCCCCCGGCUCAACCGGGGAACUGCAGGGCAAACUGCUCGGCUUGAGCUCGGUAGAGGUGCCUGGAACUCUAGGUGGAGCGGUGAAAUGCGUAGAUAUCUAGAGGAACGCCAGAGGCGAAAGCGGGGCACUGGGACGAUGCUGACGCUGAGACCCGAAAGCGUGGGGAGCAAACAGGAUUAGAUACCCUGGUAGUCC
rnacentral:rRNA from 1 species